GUUUCAAAGAUUAAGCCAUGCAUGUCUAAGUAUAAGCAAUUAUACCGUGAAACUGCGAAUGGCUCAUUAAAUCAGUUAUCGUUUAUUUGAUAAUACCUUACUACUUGGAUAACCGUGGUAAUUCUAGAGCUAAUACAUGCUGAAAAUCCCGACUUCGGAAGGGAUGUGUUUAUUAGAUAAAAAACCAAUGCCCUUCGGGGCUCUUUGGUGAUUCAUGAUAACUUUACGGAUCGCAUAGCCUUGCGCUGGCGACGGUUCAUUCAAAUUUCUGCCCUAUCAACUUUCGAUGGUAAGGUAUUGGCUUACCAUGGUUUCAACGGGUAACGGGGAAUUAGGGUUCGAUUCCGGAGAGGGAGCCUGAGAAACGGCUACCACAUCCAAGGAAGGCAGCAGGCGCGCAAAUUACCCAAUCCCGACACGGGGAGGUAGUGACAAUAAAUACUGAUACAGGGCUCUUUUGGGUCUUGUAAUUGGAAUGAGUACAAUUUAAACCUCUAACGAGANCAAUUNGAGGNNNNNNNNNNNNNNNNNNNNNNNNNNNNNNNCUCCAUANGCGUAUAUUAAGUUGUUGCAGUUAAAAAGCUCGUAGNUGAAACUUGGGCCUGGCUGGCGGGUCCGCCUCACCGCGUGCACNUCNUCCGGCCGGGCCUUCCUUCUGAAGAACCUCAUGCCCUUCACUGGGCGUGUUGGGGAAUCAGGACUUUUACUUUGAAAAAAUUAGAGUGUUCAAAGCAGGCCUUUGCUCGAAUACGUUAGCAUGGAAUAAUAAAAUAGGGCGUGCGUUUCUAUUUUGUUGGUUUCUAGAGACGCCGCAAUGAUUAACAGGAACAGUCGGGGGCAUCAGUAUUCAGUUGUCAGAGGUGAAAUUCUUGGAUUUACUGAAGACUAACUACUGCGAAAGCAUUUGCCAAGGAUGUUUUCAUUAAUCAGUGAACGAAAGUUAGGGGAUCGAAGACGAUCAGAUACCGUCGUAGUCUUAACCGUAAACUAUGCCGACUAGGGAUCGGGCGAUGUUCUUUUUCUGACUCGCUCGGCACCUUACGAGAAAUCAAAGUUUUUGGGUUCUGGGGGGAUUAUGGUCNCAAGGCUGAAACUUAAAGAAAUUGACGGAAGGUCACCACCAGGCGUGGAGCCUGCGGCUUAAUUUGACUCAACACGGGGAAACUCACCAGGUCCAGAUGAAAUAAGGAUUGACAGAUUGAGAGCUCUUUCUUGAUUUUUCAGGUGGUGGUGCAUGGCCGUUCUUAGUUCGUGGGGUGACUUGUCUGCUUAAUUGCGAUAACGAGCGAGACCUUACUCUGCUAAAUAGCCAGGCUAGCUUUGGCUGGUCGCCGGCUUCUUAGAGAGACUAUCAACUCAGUUGAUGGAAGUUUGAGGCAAUACCAGGUCUGUGAUGCCCUUAA
rnacentral:rRNA from 1 species